rnacentral:lncRNA from 1 species
GAAAUAACUGUAGGGCCAGGCAUGAAGGCUCACACCUGUAACAGCUACUCAGGAAGCUGAGGUGAGAGAAUCACUUGAGCCUGGGAGGCGGAGGUUGCAGUGAGAUGUGAUCACACCACAGCACCCCAGCCUGGGGGCAACAGAGUCUAGAGGCUGCUUCAGAGGAAGACAGCUGACUUCACUGAACACCCACUCAGUCCCAGGCACUGGACUCUGGGCACCUUUCCAUAUUAUUAUUUUAAUUGAGCAUCCCAACUGAUACGGUCAGGCUUUAUGUCCCCACUCAAAUCUCAUCCUGAAUUAUAAUCCCCAUAAUCCCCUCGUGUCAAGGGAGAGACCAGGUGGAGGUGAUUGGAUUAUGGGGGCGGUUCCCAUGCUGUUCUCAUGAUAGAGUGAGAUCAUGAGAUCUCAUGGUUUUACAAGUGUUUGGUAGUUCCUCCUGCAUUUAUUCUCCUUCCUGCCACCUUGUGAAGAAGGUACCUUGCUUCCCCUUUGCCUUCCACCAUGAUUAUAAGUUUCCUGAGGCCUCCCCAGCC